rnacentral:misc_RNA from 1 species
UCUCCGUUGGUGAACCAGCGGAGGGAUCAUUACAGAGUUGCAAAACUCCCAAAACAUUGUGAACGUUACCUAUCCCGUUGCUUCGGCGGGCGGCCCGGGCCCCGCGCCCGGCGCCCCCCGGCCCCCCGUGGGAGCCCGCCGGAGGUAAACCAAACCCUUGAAUUGCAUGGCCUCUCUGAGUCUUCUGUACUGAAUAAGUCAAAACUUUCAACAACGGAUCUCUUGGUUCUG